rfam:Octopus bimaculoides Scaffold38494_contig_245, whole genome shotgun sequence.
GAAAUCUGUCGGCAAUACAUACACUAAAAUUGGAAUGAUACAGAGAAAAUUAGCAUGGCCCCUGCACAAGGAUGACAUGCAAAUUCAUGAAGUGUUCCAUAUUUUU